AUUCUUACUCCAUCAAUUUCAGUCCUUUCUGCGGUGAGUGGGAUCAGUACAUCGUUGGGUCAAGGAGCUGUUGUGGGGAUCACUAUAGCAAUCUUGGUAGUCCUAUUUUGUAUGCAACGAUUCGGUACUUAUAAAGUGGGAUUCACAUUCGCUCCAAUCAUUUUGUUGUGGUUUUUAUUCAUCGGUGGAAUUGGCCUUUACAAUUUAUUCAAAUAUGACAUUGGAGUAUUACGUGCUUUUAAUCCAAAAUACAUAUAUGAUUACUUCAAACGGAACGGCAAGGACGGA